CGCCAUGCUCAAUUAUUUUAUUUUGCUAUUGGGAUAUAAUUAUAUUAGUAGUUAGUUAGUUAGUGAUUAACAACAUUAUUUCUAUUAGUAUUCUAGUAUUUAACUAAUAUAAUCUUUCAUCAUUCUUGCAUAAAAGAUGGUUUACUUAUUUGUCAGUUUUGUUAUUUAUUCUUAAAAACUAGAGCAAACCAAACAAAAUCUUCUAUCAAAAAUUUUUAAUUCACUUUUGCAACGAAUAAAAUUAAAAAUCUGGGCUCGAAUCGCGGCAGUCGUGAGCGAGCAAGUAAUCGUAUCGAGUAAAAUUUCGUAACGUGUCGAGUGUGCGGAUCGUCGCACUCGAUACGAAACGAAUAGAAAUUUUAUUCUUAUUAUUUAUAUUAUUAUAACUUUCCUGGUGUAGCUCUAAAUGAGAUUUUCGAAUACACUGAAAUACGAAAGUAUUUGAAUUGCAAUUGAACGUAAAUAUUCAAUAUACGUUUAUACAAUAUGUGUAAUAAAGUGUAUAUAAAUGUACUAAAUUUAGUUUUUGCAUUCAAUGAAAUGAGCCCUAACGUGUUUUUUUAUACAAGUUCAUCUGAUUCAGAUGAAAAACAUCACCAAAUGGCCAUAGGUUCAGGAUUCGUGAUAAAAGUAAUCCCAUGGCUUUACCUGAAGCAGCUUUCAGGAAGUUUAGACGGACUAAAGACGCAUUUACUUUCAUCGGAUCGGAAAUAAAAUUUAACGGGCAUUUAUCAACCGCAGUACCACCAAUGCUUCAAUCAGCCGGUGGGCCGGUGGAAAAUUCUCAGUAAUGAUAAAAGAAGUCGGUAUAGUCCUGAAAAGGUGGCAAAGUUCGGCGAUGUAUGUGCAGUGUUGCAUAACAUCUGCAUACAGUUUAAAAAUUCAACAUAUUUCAAAUAUUUUGUAAAUGAAAACAAUAUAAUAUAAAACAACAUUGAACGUUCCAACAAUAUUUGACUUCAUAUUUUCUUUUAAUAAAUAUAUUUUCAAUAAAAACAGGAACUUAGAAUUAACAUAUA